UAGUAAUCGCGGAUCAGAAUGCCGCGGUGAAUACGUUCCCGGGCCUUGUACACACCGCCCGUCACACCACGAGAGUUUGUAACACCCGAAGCCGGUGGGGUAACCCGUAAGGGAGCUAGCCGUCGAAGGUGGGACAGAUGAUUGGGGUGAAGUCGUAACAAGGUAGCCGUAUCGGAAGGUGCGGCUGGAUCACCUCCUUUCUAAGGAA
rnacentral:rRNA from 1 species